GGGGCAGAAUCCACUCGUUUGCGGGUAUGGAGUUUCGUGAUUGGUUCUUCUUUGACGUGACGUUUCUCUCUCUCUCUCUCUCUCUCUCUCUCUCUCUCUCUCUCUCUCUCUCUCUCUCUUACGAUGGUCCACGUCAUGAUGAGGAAGGAACCAAUCAGCGCACGUCAUACCCGGAUACGCGUGGGUUUUAUUUUUAGCGGCAGGCCGCGAGUGAGUGACGGGAAGGGGCGGCGGUCGGUCACUACAUACUCUUAGUGUAGCGGUCACUCAGUGUAGCGGUCAUUCAUUAUAGCGGUUACUUUGUGUAGCGGUCACUCAUUGUAGCAGUCAUUUAUCAAAGCGGUUACUUAGUGUAGCGGUUACUCAGUGUAGCGGUCAUUCAUUAUAGCGGUUACUUAGUGUAGCGGUCACUCAUUGUAGCGGUCAUUCAUUAUAGCGGUUACUUAGUGUAGCGGUCAUUCAUUACAGCGGUUACUUAGUGUAGAGGUCACUCAUUGUAGUAGUCACUCAAGUAUAGCGGUCACUCAUUGUAGCAGUUAUUCGGUGUAGCGUUCAUUCAUUUAGCGGUCACUUAGUAUAGCGGUCAUUCAUUUAGUGGUCACUCAAUGUAACGGUCAUUCAGUGUAGCGGUCACUCAGUGUAGCGGUCAUUCAGUUUAGCUGUCAUUCAGCGAAGCGGUCACUCAGUGUAGCGGUCAUCCAAUGUAGCGGUCACUCAGUGUAGCGGUCAUUCAAUGUAGCGGUCACUCACUGUGGCGGUCAUUCAAUGUAACGGUUACUCAGUGUAGCGGUCACUCAGUGUAACGGUUAUUCAGCGUAGCGGUCAUUCAUUCUGGCGGUCACUCAAUGUAGCGGUCAUUCAGUGUAACGGUCAUUCUUUGUAGUGGUCACUCAGUGUAGCGGUCAUCCAAUGUAGCGGUCACUUAAUGUAGCGGUCAUUCAGUGUUGUGGUCAUUCAGUGUAGCGGUCAUUCAUUCUAUCGGUCACUCAACGAAGCGGGCAUUCAUUCUAGCGGUCACUCAAUGUAGCGGUCAUUCAGUGUUGCGGUCAUUCAGUAUUGCGGUCAUUCAGUGUUGUGGUCAUUCAGUGUAGCGGUCAGUUUAAUUACUACUGAGAGCCCCUUCAGACAUAACAGGAGAUAAUGAUGUAAUUAGCGAAGGACAUAAAUAUUCCAUAGGUCGUACAUAAACAAUAUUUAAUGACAUUAUUUAACGUGUCAUAUUAUCCAAAUUGUUAUUAUUAUUUUAUUAUGUCAGUAUUUAUAUGAACAAAACCGUAAUGCAAUAUUCAGAUAUUAUUUUAUUUUUGUUUAUUUUUUUUUAAUAUUGUGUGGUUAUUUGAUCCUAUUUAAGAAGACUUUAGAGAACCAUAUACCGAACUAGUCAAUAAUUAUCAUAUACAUUACUCAUAUACAUUGGGAAUAAAUAUAUAUAUAAAUCGAUCAGGUGUUUUAAAAUAGUUUCCCGUCAAGUUUUUAUUUUUUACUCCCAAUUCUCGUUUUCUUCACAAUAAAUACCCCUCUUGUAGUGUGGGUAUAUAUUUUUACUCAUAUAUUAUAACCUGAGUCUAUGAUUGUCGACACGAUAAGGAAGGUGAAUCGUAUUAGAAAAGUUGAUUUAAUUAACAUUGAAAGAAUUGCUGGUUGAGUGAAUCAUUAUCCAAGAAUUCAUAUUUAAAAUUAAUAUUGUUUGCGGUAAUGGUAUUUGUAUUGGGCAGGUAGGGAGGAAGGCAGGUAGGUAGGGAGGUAGGUAGGUAGGCAGGGACGUAGGCAGGUAGGGAGGCAGGCAGGCAGAUAGGGAGCCAGGCAGACACGUAGGGAGGCAGGCAGCAUCAGUGAGCACACCCAACUCAUUAUAUGAUUCCAAAUGAUUUGUAAAAAAAAAAAAAAUAUUUAUGGUCAAUCCUACAUAAUCACAGCGACAUGUAAUUAUCUGCUGUGGAAUUAAGGUAAAUUGCCAUUCCGACACUAACGUUGCUGAUUACACCAAAAACCCAUUACAUAUAUUUUUGUCAUUUACCAAUUAACAUUUGUGAAACUAUAUUACGUGGCCAAUCCCCCCCACCCCACCCACCGGCGGGCCCAGGGAACUAAAAAUUAUAUCAGGUGUUUUUGAGUUUGGUGAAUAUCAAAUUGUUCUAUAUAGAUGUUAGAUGAUCCAGUCAUUGUAUGUGAAAGAAAAUCCUUUGUUGGUUUUUAUUAAUACAGAUUUAUUGAAAAGGAAUACCCAGAUUUUGAAAUGACUGUAUAUUAAAAUCUGGACAUUUUUUUUUUUUUUUUCUAUGACUCUGUAUAUAAAUCUGUGUUUUAUGAUCAGGUGAGAAGACCACACUUACAUCUUGCUCAGCUUGGAGGGGGGUCGUUCAGCACUCAACAACACGACUGGACAACAACCUCUUGGCUCACUCACAAAUUAACCCAAAGAAAAAUUAUCCACACUGGGUUAAAAAAAAAAAUCCUUUUAUACAUUUUUUAAUAUAAUUUGAAAAGUUUCUUCUUAAUUAAUUACAUUAUUACAUUACACCUAUUACACCUGUGAAACUUGAUUACCUGUAUUGCUUUAAUUAAUUCAUUUACCUGUUGUUGUUGUUUUAUCAUUACUUAAAUUACAACAUUACUGCAUCUGUGAGAUUUCAUAUGUCUUGUCGGUACGUAUGUCAAAGGUCAGCUACACCAGUCCUACCCUCCUCCUUCAGUCCUUUCCCUCCCUCCCUCCUAUCCUCAUCCCUCCCUCCUAUCCCCCUUUCCUCUCUCCUACCCCCUCUUCCUCUCUCCUACCCCCCCCCUCCUCGCAGGUGUUUCCAGGUUAAUUUUUUUUUUAUCAUGACCUUUCACCUGUAAUGACCUAAUCACCUCUCCCAUGACCUCGUUGUUCGCUGGGUUCACACAUGAGGAAAUUUACUAUGUGAUUUUGGGUCACUAUACUCUAAGGUUGACCUAACUUUCUGUGAUUUAAAAUACCAGUGAUUGUAAGUUUUUUUUAUUAUUAUUAUUGUUAUUAUGAAGAAAAUGAUGAUCUUGUUUCUUCCUUAUGUGCCAACAACAACAACAACAAUAACAACAACAACAACAACAACAACAACAACAAGA
rnacentral:lncRNA from 1 species